UUACUGGGCGUAAGCGCACGCAGGCGGUCUGUCAAGUCGGAUGUGAAAUCCCCGGGCUCAACCUGGGAACUGCAUUCGAAACUGGCAGGCUAGAGUCUUGUAGAGGGGGGUAGAAUUCCAGGUGUAGCGGUGAAAUGCGUAGAGAUCUGGAGGAAUACCGGUGGCGAAGGCGGCCCCCUGGACAAAGACUGACGCUCAGGUGCGAAAGCGUGGGGAGCAAACAGGAUUAGAUACCCUGGUAGUCCACGCCGUAAACGAUGUCGACUUGGAGGUUGUGCCCUUGAGGCGUGGCUUCCGGAGCUAACGCGUUAAGUCGACCGCCUGGGGAGUACGGCCGCAAGGUUAAAACUCAAAUGAAUUGACGGGGGCCCGCACAAGCGGUGGAGCAUGUGGUUUAAUUCGAUGCAACGCGAAGAACCUUACCUACUCUUGACAUCCAGAGAACUUUCCAGAGAUGGAUUGGUGCCUUCGGGAACUCUGAGACAGGUGCUGCAUGGCUGUCGUCAGCUCGUGUUGUGAAAUGUUGGGUUAAGUCCCGCAACGAGCGCAACCCUUAUCCUUUGUUGCCAGCGGUUAGGCCGGGAA
rnacentral:rRNA from 1 species